GACGAACGCUGGCGGCGUGCUUAACACAUGCAAGUCGAACGAUGAAGCCGGAGCUUGCUCUGGUGAAUUAGUGGCGAACGGGUGAGUAACACGUGAGUAACCUGCCCUUGACUCUGGGAUAACUGCGGGAAACUGUAGCUAAUACCGGAUACGACCCUCGGAGGCAUCUCCUGGGGGUGGAAAGAAUUUCGGUCAAGGAUGGACUCGCGGCCUAUCAGCUAGUUGGUGAGGUAAAGGCUCACCAAGGGGACGACGGGUAGCCGGCCGGAGAGGGUGACCGGCAACACUGGGACGGAGACACGGCCCAGACUCUUACGGGAGGAAGCAGGGGGGAAUAUUGCACAAUGGGCGCAAGCCUGAUGCAGCAACGCCGCGUGAGGGAUGACGGCCUUCGGGUUGUAAACCUCUUUUAGCAGGGAAGAAGCGAAAGUGACGGUACCUGCAGAAAAAGCACCGGCUAACUACGUGCAGCCGCCGCCGUAA
rnacentral:rRNA from 1 species